AAAAAAAAAAAAAAAAUAAAAAAUGGAGGACCAAGGGAGCACAUUUUUUUAUUCUACUU
rnacentral:ribozyme from 1 species